ACCCGCUGAACUUAAGCAUAUCAAUAAGCGGAGGAAAAGAAACCAACCGGGAUUACCUCAGUAACGGCGAGUGAAGCGGUAACAGCUCAAAUUUGAAAUCUGGCUCCUGCGGAGUCCGAGUUGUAAUUUGUAGAAGAUGCUUUGGGAGGUAGGCUCGGCCUAAGUUCCUUGGAACAGGACAUCAGAGAGGGUGAGAAUCCCGUAUGUGGCCGUGGCCUACGCCCGUGUAAAGCUCUUUCGACGAGUCGAGUUGUUUGGGAAUGCAGCUCAAAAUGGGUGGUAAAUUUCAUCUAAAGCUAAAUAUUGGCCAGAGACCGAUAGCGCACAAGUAGAGUGAUCGAAAGAUGAAAAGCACUUUGGAAAGAGAGUUAAACAGUACGUGAAAUUGUUGAAAGGGAAGCGCUUGCACCCAGACUUGGGCGUCGUCGAUCAUCCGAGGUUCUCCUCGGUGCACUCGGCGAGGCACAGGCCAGCAUCGGUUUGGAUGGUUGGAGAAAGGCUCUAGGAACGUAGCUCUCUUCGGGGAGUGUUAUAGCCUAGGGCGUAAUGCAGCCCAUCCGGACCGAGGACCGCGCCUUCGGGCUAGGAUGCUGGCGUAAUGGUUGCAAGCGACCCGUCUUGAAACACGGACCAAGG
rnacentral:rRNA from 1 species